rnacentral:pre_miRNA from 1 species
CGUGCACUGGUGGGGUCCCUCAGCCUGGCCUGUGGGAUCAGGCCAAAACCAGAUCUAUGACACCCCCCGAGGCAUCCCGGAUUGUGAGAGGGCUCAGGCCAGGCUGAGGGACCUCACCGGUGCACG